rnacentral:rRNA from 1 species
UUGGACCUGAUAUCAGGCAAGACUACCCGC